rnacentral:rRNA from 1 species
CCCCGUGAACCUGUUAAAUGAAAAUAAAGGGGUUUGUGUCAGGAACGGGCCCCGGUUCUUCCCUUUAUGUGGAGGUGGUGUGGAUGGAAAUGGUGGCCUUGUUCCAUCCUCUCUUCCGCAUUGUCCUCCAAACAAACAAAACCCCGGUGCAAAAUGCGCCAAGGAAUUUUAAACGAAAAGAGAAGGGAACUAACGCCCUAACGUGCCGGGAACGGAAUUCGCAAGGGCGGUUAGUUACCCUAUUUGAAAACUAAACGACUCUCGGCAACGGAUAUCUUGGCUCUCGCAUCGAUGAAGAACGUAGCGAAAUGCGAUACUUGGUGUGAAUUGCAGAAUCCCGUGAACCAUCGAGUUUUUGAACGCAAGUUGCGCCCGAAGCCUUCGGGCCAAGGGCACGUCUGCCUGGGUGUCAUGUAUCGUUGCCCCCAUCCAACUCCCUAUGUGGGAGAUUGGACUAGGGGCGGAAAAUGGUCUCCCGUGACCUCUUUGCUCGCGGUUGGCCAAAAUUUGAGUUGUUGGUGAGCAUGUCACGGCAAGUGGUGGUUGAUAAAACCUUCGAGAAAAGUCGUGGCCAAGCCAACAAAAGGCUCCGAGACCCAAUUCACUCCCAACAGCGA